ACAAGUAUCAUUCUGCAUUAAGUAAUCGAACCAAUAAAUUGCCACGACAAAAUAUUACGGCACACCAGUAUCCGCACUGACUAAACUGCUGUCCUGUGGGAAAUACUUAACGCUGCUUAUGCGAGUAUUGUUGGUACUACUCAUGUAUUAAGCAUGGACAUACUCAAGAUCUGAUUUGCUGCUGAUAGAAUUCUGCAUAUUUGCACUAUCACAACAGAUUCCUGUAAUUUGGCGGACUCGCCAGUGCAGUAGAACAAAACUGGAUAUAAAUUAUGUUUGUCCUUGGAUUACUGCAUUCUAUCCGGCGACCCGAACCCAUGCCUGCAUGAUGCAGGCAAUCGACGGCGAAAAAUGAACAACUUCCUUCAACUUUGGGAUACAGAUAUACUUCCCUAGAGGAGGCCAUUUCCGACGACCUAUACGCCCACUCUUCCGCUCCUGUUUAACGCGGCGACAAACUUUUAGUAAGUCGGCGCAGUUCGCUGCAUGGCCUGUAAUUGGUACGACUUACGAGUAUCUUCCUGCAUCCCACUGUCAUCAAGCGAUGAGUGCUAGUUCUUCGUGAUCUUAACAACUUCCACGCGUACCGCAUUUUAUCGAUCAGGGAGCCCUCUCCGCUUCCGCAGCCCACAUUGCAAUAUGGCUGGCAUUGAAGGGUCGUUGUGGCAAUAUUCACUUAAGAGGGUUUUUCCCCCCGAAACGUAGACCCCAUCCAUAACCGUUAUGGAACCAGCAAUGCGGGAUUGCUAAUUGACGAAAAAUACACGAAAUGGUUGAAGAUACCGAGGGGAGACGCGUUGGACGGAAAUCGAAUUAACACAGCAACAUUUGCGCCUUAAUUAGUGGCAGGACGUCCGUUGUCUUAACCCUGUGUGCCCGUAACGGCGGGUGGCUGGGAAAACAUUCCGUUGAUUUGUCUAGUUUAUUUUUAUUCACUGAGCAAACAAACACUAAAGGCAGCCACUACACUACUCGGGUGAGUUGCGUACACAAACACACAACCGCAACGCUGCACAGAAUUUUAUGGAUACUUCUUUAGAACAGCCAAACAACUCAUAUCCGCUUCCCCCUAUUUUCAACAGACUACCCUAGCUAGUGUGGUAGCGUGGUCUUUCCAAAUUUCAGCUUCGCUGCAGUCGACAGAUCCAUGCCCCCCACAGGAAAUCCUGCAUAAAGGGCUCAAAGGUUACACAUGGAUGCGAGCACAACGCAUCUGUCCCGGCUUCUUAGAUCUUAUAAUAUUAAUACUGUAUAAUUAUAUACGCACAGCCACAUUACGGACUUUUUGGCGCCAUUCCCGGACUGCUGGCAGCCUGCCUGGGGUUACGCCCACAACUGUUCGUACAGUUGUGGGUGUAAUGUUAAGUUGUGAAAUUCGCCAAAUUAAGUUGUAAAAUUCCCCUCUUCCACAAUUGUAGUGUAGUGGCUACGCGCCAUAUUAGCGCGUAGCAACCCGCAUGGCUGUGUUGACCUGUAGAGGAUGCAUUUUAUGUGGUACUAUGAGUAUUUCAUUAUUCAGUAUCUAUCCGGCCAGAGUGGCAUAAUAAACAUCUGUGCCAAGACGUGACAACAAUAUAACAAUUUCGUAUUGUACAGAUUUUCU